AUUGAACGCUGGCGGAAUGCUUUACACAUGCAAGUCGAACGAUGAGACCUAGCUUGCUAGGUUGAUUAGUGGCGAACGGGUGAGUAAUGUAUCGGAACGUAUCCAAUAAUGGGGGAUAACUAACCGAAAGGUUAGCUAAUACCGCAUACGCCCUACGGGGGAAAGCAGGGGAUCUUCGGACCUUGCGUUAAUGGAGCGGCCGAUGUCUGAUUAGCUAGUUGGUGAGGUAAAGGCUCACCAAGGCGACGAUCAGUAGCUGGUCUGAGAGGACGACCAGCCACACUGGAACUGAGACACGGUCCAGACUCCUACGGGAGGCAGCAGUGGGGAAUUUUGGACAAUGGGCGAAAGCCUGAUCCAGCCAUUCCGCGUGAGUGAAGAAGGCCUUCGGGUUGUAAAGCUCUUUCGCAAGGGAAGAAAACUUACUUUCUAAUAAAGAGUGAGGUUGACGGUACCUUGAUAAGAAGCACCGGCUAACUACGUGCCAGCAGCCGCGGUAA
rnacentral:rRNA from 1 species